rnacentral:misc_RNA from 1 species
AGCAGCCGCGGUAAUUCCAGCUCCAAUAGCGUAUAUUAAAGUUGUUGCAGUUAAAAGCUCGUAGUUGAAUUUCGGGAUCAAUUAAUUGGUCGUGCCUCUGGUACGUACUGGUUUUAUUGGUUUCUCCCUUCUGACGAACCAUGAUGUCAUUAAUUUGGUGUCGUGGAGAAUCAGGACUGUUACUUUGAAAAAAUUAGAGUGUUUAAAGCAAGCUAACGCUUGAAUACAUUAGCAUGGAAUAAUGAAAUAGGACGUUUGAUCCUAUUUUGUUGGUUUCUAGGAUCGACGUAAUGAUUAAUAGGGAUAGUUGGGGGCAUUAGUAUUCAAUUGUCAGAGGUGAAAUUCUUGGAUUUAUUGAAGACUAACUACUGCGAAAGCAUUUGCCAAGGAUGUUUUCAUUAAUCAAGAACGAAAGUUAGGGGAUCGAAGACGAUCAGAUACCGUCGUAGUCUUAACCAUAAACUAUGCCGACUAGGGAUCGGAUGAUGUUAAUUUUUUAAUGACUCAUUCGGCGCCUUAC